UACGGAGGAUCCAAGCGUUAUUCGGAGUGACUGGGCGUAAAGAGUUGCGUAGGGGGUUUGUUAAGCGAAUAGUGAAAUCUUGUGGCUCAACCAUAAGGCUAUUAUUCGAACUGGCAGACUUGAGAAUAUGAGAGGUAGAUGGAAUUUCUAGUGUAGGAGUGAAAUCCGUAGAUAUUAGAAGGAACACCAAUGGCGUAGGCAGUCUACUGGCAUAUUUCUGACCCUGAGGCACGAAAGCGUGGGGAGCGAA
rnacentral:rRNA from 1 species